UAACAAGGAUUCCCCUAGUAACGGCGAGUGAAGCGGGAUGAGCUCAAAUUUAAAAUCUGGCUGGUUUACUAGUCCGAAUUGUAGUUUAAAGAAGCGUUUUCGGUGGCAGCCUGGGUAUAAAUCCUUUGGAACAGGGUAUCAUAGAGGGUGAGAAUCCCGUCUUUGACUCAGUGCAUGCUACUAUGUGAUACGUUUUCAAAGAGUCGAGUUGUUUGGGAAUGCAGCUCAAAAUGGGUGGUAAAUUUCAUCUAAAGCUAAAUAUUGGCGAGAGACCGAUAGCGAACAAGUACCGUGAGGGAAAGAUGAAAAGAACUUUGAAAAGAGAGUUAAACAGUGCGUGAAAUUGUUGAAAGGGAAACGCUUGACACCAGUCAUGCGAGCGGAAAAUCAGUCUUUUGCAGUGGGGAGUUGUGUGGGUUCGGACCGCAAGGCCGGCCUGCGCUGCAUCUCUGCUGUAAGUGAUGCACUUUUUCGUUUGCAGGCCAACAUCAGUUUCUUCUGCUGGACAAAACUCUUGAGAAGGUGGCAGCUUAGGCUGUGUUAUAGCUCUUGAGCGAUACAGUGGAGGGGACUGAGGUUUUCGCAGCGCGUGCUCUCGGGCAAGGCUGAUUGGGUGCUAUGGGAUCGUUCGGUGUACAAUGCAUGCAUUUUGCGCCGUGUCUUUUCUAUACUCGCUCAACUCGGCUCUUCCGCGCUUAGGAUGUUGGCUUAAUGGUUUUAAUCGACCCGUCUUGAAACACGGACCAA
rnacentral:rRNA from 1 species